rnacentral:tRNA from 1 species
GCUCCAUAGUGUAGUGGUUCCACAUCUGCUUUACACGCAGAAGGUCCUGGUUUUGCACCCCAGGUGGAGC